rnacentral:rRNA from 1 species
AGCAAACGCUGGCGGCGUGCCUAACACAUGCAAGUCGAGCGAGAAAGUCCCUUCGGGGAUGAGUAGAGCGGCGAACGCGUGAGUAACACGUGGGUAACCUGCCCUCGGGACCGGAAUAACCUCGCGAAAGUGGGGCUAAUGCCGGGUAUUCUUGCCGGUCAUCAGGACCGGUUCGGAAAGAUGGCCUCUGCAUGCAAGCUAUCGCCCGGGGAUGGGCCCGCGGCCUAUUAGCUAGUUGGUAGGGUAACGGCCUACCAAGGCGAUGAUGGGUAGCCGGCCUGAGAGGGUGUACGGCCACACUGGGACUGAGACACGGCCCAGACUCCUACGGGAGGCAGCAGUGGGGAAUCUUGCGCAAUGGGCGAAAGCCUGACGCAGCGACGCCGCGUGGGUGAUGAAGGCCUUCGGGUUGUAAAGCCCUUUCAGCGGGGAAGAAACGUCCGUCGUCAAAUAGCCGGCGGACCUGACGGUACCCGUAGAAGAAGCCACGGCUAACUCCGUGCCAGCCGCCGCAGUAACAC